UACAGAGGUCUCAAGCGUUGUUCGGAUUCAUUGGGCGUAAAGGGUGCGUAGGCGGCGGGGUAAGUCGGAUGUGAAAUCCCGGGGCUCAACCCCGGAACUGCAUUCGAUACUGCUCUGCUAGAGUACUGGAGAGGAGACUGGAAUUUACGGUGUAGCAGUGAAAUGCGUAGAUAUCGUAAGGAAGACCAGUGGCGAAGGCGAGUCUCUGGACAGUUACUGACGCUGAGGCACGAAGGCCAGGGGAGCAAACGGG
rnacentral:rRNA from 1 species